rnacentral:misc_RNA from 1 species
GUGAAUCAUCGAAUCUUUGAACGCAAAUUGCACUCUCUGGUAUUCCGGAGAGUAUGCCUGUUUGAGGGUCAGUAUAAAUAAAAAUCGAGGUGUUGCUUAUGGUGACGCCAUCGGAAUUGGUCAACCUUUAACCUUAAUAAGGGUUUAAGGUGACUUAAAAUUGUGGAAACCUUUGGCAUCUCAG